CUGCAGAGUUUCUCGUACACGAGUGAAAACAGCACCGGAUGAAAGCUGGGCCCGCAGACCUGAGCUACAGCUCUUCCACGAGCUUUAACACAGAGCUGGCAGACAGGACAGCUUUUGCUGCUGGGUCCAGUUCUGUCAUCUGUCCUUUCCUACCUGGACCCUGGCAUGGCUCUACAGUUAUGCUAGAACACUCCAUUUCUCCAUAUGUCUUGUGUCCUUAACUCUGGUGAUAGCUUACUACUUCCGUUUACUAGUUCUUGUUUUCUCACCCCUCCUCCUCCUCCUCCUUCUCCUCCUCCUCCUCUAUAUCUUACCUUAUGCCAGGGAUUGAACCCAGGACCUUUGCUUGUCAGCCAAGCAUUCUGCCACUGAGGCACACUUUCAGGCCCGAUGACAAAUUUGUAGUGUAGUCUCCAUUGCUUAGUGGGUUGUAAUGACCCGGGGCUGAGGGCGUGAAGGAGAGAAACAGGAGGAGCUGGGAGCGUGAACUCUGUAGGAACUUGAUGACUUCUGGUAUGCUAUCUAAAGCGGCUGACUCUGUCACCUCCCACUCUCCCUGUCCUCUGGCUUGCUUCUCUUGAGAGGCUCUUCACCUAGCUGGUUCUGAGCCGCUUCCAAGGCACCCGAAGAAGGAAAGGAAUACAGGAAGAGAAAAGCACCAAGAUAUGAUCAGUCAAAGAGUCUUUAUUUAGGAAAAGGAAAAUAUGACAAGAGAUUUGGUGAAUGUUGAAUAGAAGGGUAAAUGUGAGCUAGAAGAGAGUUAGAGAGAGAAGAUUGGGAAAGGGAGAGAGAGAGAGAGAGAGAGAGAGAGAGAGAGAGACUUGCUGAGUGAACUGGGGACUGUGUCUCCCAGGCAGGGUGGCAGAGGUUCCUAUAAGGCCUUAAAGAUGUCUGGUAGACAAACCUAGAACAUUCCUGAGAGAAAGGGGAGGUGUUUAGUGCUACCUGGGAAGGGCAUUAUGUGUUUGAGGUCUGGCUGGGACUGUCUGUUUUCACUUUUGGAACAGGUAACAGGUUUCCAACCAGAGUUCAACAUUUUGUUGCUUAAGAUUUCAUUUUUAUCUGUCUGUCUGUCCAUCCAUCCAUGUAUGUAUGUAUGUAUGUAUGUAUGUAUGUAUGUAUGCAUGCAUGUAUAUUUGUAUCUAUGUAUGUAUCUAUUUAUGUAUCUAUCUAUAUAUGCAUGUAUGUUUGUAUCUAUAUAUCUGUAUGUCUAUAUAGUAUCUGUCUAUCUAUCUAUCUAUCUAUCUAUCUAUCUAUCUAUCUAUCAUGUAUAUUUGUAUCUAUGUAUGUAUCUAUGUAUCUAUCUAUAUAUGCAUGUAUGUUUGUAUCUAUAUAUCUGUAUGUCUAUAUAGUAUCUGUCUGUCUGUCUGUCUAUCUAUCUAUCUAUCUAUCUAUCUAUCUAUCUAUCUAUCUAUCUAAUUUUUGUUCUUUGGCUUUGGUUGGCUGCAAGAAGCCUAACACUUGUCAGGGACAGGCUUCCUCCUUGGGGUAGAUGGGAGGGGGACCAGAACAGGGCAGGCUCCCACUUGAAUUGUGUCCAUACACACAUUUUUCCAGCCAGUCCUACCCUUUGCAGGAGGCUAGUGAACAUUUAACUGUGAAUAGCGGGCUCACAUCUGCUUCUAUUUUUCCCCUUUCUGCAGGCCAGACUAAAAAACUUAAUAAAUUGUAUGAAACCUAAGUAAGCAUGGAUUUUAGAGAACAUUAAAUAAAUUACAUAAGUAUGUCUACCUGUAACACUGUUAUAAGGUAAAUGCAGGAGGGUUAGUUUACCAUAAAUGUACACAUGAACGGAGCGUUAGUCUAAAGCCCCCUUGUUUCAGCGCCGCCCUCAUGAAAGUAGUACUGUUCCCAGUUCCCCUUCUUUCCCUCCCUGGCAAGCACUGUCCUGGGCUUGGAAAACGUGAUAAUGAUGCCGUAAGUACCCUUGUGUAAAACUUGUUUUUUUGUUCCAAAACAUUGCCAGUUCACGGCACAUAAAAACCGCCACAAUCCUUCAGCCAGUUUUCCUUCUCCCCAAAUAAGGCAAGCGUUAAUGAAGCAGCCGAGGGCCUGGGAAAAUAUUUGCUAUUCCUUAAAAUGAAAUUUCUCCUGUUCUUGGGGGGCAAGCUCAUAGACUGUCCAGCUCAAGUGAGCCAGUGUCUAGCCAGACAUUCAGUAAAACUUGUUUAUUCCUUGUAUGACUUCAAGCAGCCUUCCAUCCAUGUAGAGUUGUCCUGUCCCAUCCUGUGUCCACAUCUGUGACUGGACGCCACAUGGGAAGGAUGCCUAGGUUAUCCCAGUCUACAGAGAGGAAAGUGCAGUCCAGCCAGGCUCCCUGACCUGUCUCUAGGCCUGGCAGACCCCUAGCUUCCGAUGCCUGCAGUUAGGAAUAAAGUGCAGGGGUCAGGUAGUUCUGAGGUAGAGGUAGACUCACUCACUUUCACUACUUGGCUUCACUAGGUGUUUAGGGGUUCCUGUUCAUGGUCCAAGUGCUUGGCAAAUGACAGCUCUUCUGCAUAAAUUCCAGACUACCCUCAUCAUUCUUACCUGGCCAGUGUCAUGCACCGGAGCAAGAAAUGACGUAGUUUCAGGGAGCCAGUGGAUACUCUCUUCAACACUACUCUUUCUCAAUUCCGAUGCAUCAUGAAUUGUAAGAUUUGCCCAAAUAAUGGGUUUUCAAGGAGAGAAGAAACACAACUAUGUUGAGUUUGUACAAUUAGGCACCCCCAAGAGUAGAAAAGUAGAUCUGAAGAAGUGAUGUUAGAACCGAGGGGGUAAUGCUCGUGCGGGGGGUGGAUGGGGGGGGGGCAUCUCAAAGUCAGCAGGCUGUCCUAGCUUUGAGAGACAUGCACUAAGACAGUUCCAAACAUACUUUUGGUUGCACAAAGGGGAGGCAUUGACCAGAUCAGUAUUAAAAGAAUAACUUGUGAGCCUGCAGUCAUGAGGGGCAGUCAGCGACUGGGAGGAGUCGAGCAAUUGAUUUUGCAGGAGCCCAUGAACAGAGACCAUGCGGUGGUUCCAAGUUUGCACUUUGUUUUUGGCCACUUGGAAGAAUACCGGCAUUGAAAGAGGUUGGAUUUUGCUUCUCGUGGCACACACUAAAAGCAUGUCUACCUUCCAGCCUCCCCUCAGCCCAGCUCCCCACCGGGAGAAGUUGGUCUGCAGCGUGAAUGGGAACAAUGACCGUAGAGUCUUCACCAGAAGACAAUACCAGAGCGUUUAGUGCUCUGCCAGGAAGAGUGGACUCCGCACAUUAAUUAUCCUUAAUAUAAAUGUGGUGCAUUUGAACAUCUAGAUGAAGAAUGCAGCAAAGAAUAUGCAUUUCUGCCAUGAGUGACUUAGAAUAUGUCAACAUAAUGGCCCUUGGUUAUUAACACAUUAUGUGAAUUGGACAAUGAUAUACACUUUGAGGACCUUGAACUAGAUCCACCAGCUAACAGCCUGUAGGACGGGCUCCAGAAGCCUGGGAAUUC
ensembl:sense_intronic Ppnr per-pentamer repeat gene